CCUACGGGAGGCAGCAGUGGGGAAUAUUGGACAAUGGGGGCAACCCUGAUCCAGCCAUGCCGCGUGCGUGAAGAAGGCCUUAGGGUUGUAAAGCGCUUUCACCGGUGACGAUGAUGACGGUAGCCGGAGAAGAAGCCCCGGCUAACUCCGUGCCAGCAGCCGCGGUAAUACGGAGGGGGCAAGCGUUGUUCGGAAUUACUGGGCGUAAAGGGCGCGUAGGCGGAAAGCCAAGUCAGGGGUGAAAGGCCUGGGCUCAACCCGGGAACUGCCUUUGAAACUGGUUUUCUAGAGUACGGGAGAGGAUGGCGGAAUUCCCAGUGUAGAGGUGAAAUUCGUAGAUAUUGGGAAGAACACCGGUGGCGAAGGCGGCCAUCUGGCCCGGUACUGACGCUAAGGCGCGAAAGCGUGGGGAGCAAACAGGAUUAGAUACCCUGGUAGUCCACGCUGUAAACGAUGAGAACUAGAUGUUGGCCGGUUUUAUCCGGGCAGUAUCGCAGCUAACGCAUUAAGUUCUCCGCCUGGGGAGUACGGUCGCAAGAUUAAAACUCAAAUGAAUUGACGG
rnacentral:rRNA from 1 species